rnacentral:rRNA from 1 species
AUUGAACGCUGGCGGAAUGCUUUACACAUGCAAGUCGAACGGCAGCACGGACUUCGGUCUGGUUGCGAGUGGCGAACGGGUGAGUAACAUAUCGGAACGUAUCCAAUAAUGGGGGAUAACGAGUCGAAAGAUUCGCUAAUACCGCAUACGCCCUACGGGGGAAAGCUGGGGACCUUCGGGCCUGGCGUUAAUGGAGCGGCCGGUAGCUGAUUAGCUAGUUGGUGAGGUAAAGGCUCACCAAGGCGACGAUCAGUAGCUGGUCUGAGAGGACGACCAGCCACACUGGAACUGAGACACGGUCCAGACUCCUACGGGAGGCAGCAGUGGGGAAUUUUGGACAAUGGGCGCAAGUCUGACCCAGCCAUUCCGCGUGAGUGAAGAAGGCCUUCGGGUUGUAAAGCUCUUUCGCAAGGGAAGAAAACUUAGCCACUAACAUUGGUUGAGGUUGACGGUACCUUGAUAAGAAGCACCGGCUAACUACGUGCCAGCCGCCGCGGUAA